UCGAAAAAUCAGUGUAAUAACUUAUAAACUAAGGAUUUCAACAAAAAAUCCAGUGUCCCUUUAGUGGGUAAUUGUGGAAAAUAUAUACAUAUGCACAGAAAAGUCGCAAGUGCUAUUUAAAAUAUUUUAUAAAUAUCAUAUCUCUUUAAUUAUUGCCAAUACUAUUUUAAACAACAACAAAAACAAAAAUAGAAUAGGUUUUAUAUUUUACAUACAUAAAACUCAAACUAGUACAUUUCUAUGCUAAAUUAAUACAAAAAUAGAAAUAUGUACAAAAAAAGAAGGAAAAUGAAAAAUGGAGAAAAGGAAGAAUGGAAAAUCAAUUUCGUCAUCUAUUAGGCAAUGGUGGAAAAUCAAAAUAUUUAGGAACAGCUAUGCUUUGCAGUAAAAAUGUAAAUAGAUGUGUCUUUCAAUUCAAAUGAACGCAUUAAUGCAAAAAUGUGCAACAAUGAUAUCCAAUGGCCGCAAAUGAAAGUAGGGAAAAUUGCAACGUUUUGAUUGGAGAUUUAAUCGUACUUUUGCAAUAGGUUAUGCCACUUGAAAUUGCCCCCACAGCACCCGAACCAACUCCAGCCGCUGUAGGUAGCUAUGGCAUUCCAUUAAGUAUUUGACCGAGCGAGCGUCCACUUGGCAGCAUGGCUGUGCGUUGCUGUGGCACGGGCGGUGGAUUCGAUUCGGUCGUCGUGAUUGCUUUGUGCUUUUUUUUGCAGCAACAUUAAAGUCAAUGUGUAUGUAACGAGUGAGUACCUACUACAACUACUAGUACUUACCGUCAUGCAAGCCCGUUUAUCGAGGGUGGAGUCCAAGCACCGUUGAUUGGCCUGCCAACUCUGUUGCAAUGUUGUGCCAUUGGUAGAUAAUUUUAUAGGCAUUUUGAGCCUAUAAACGAAAACCGGAAAUAAACGAGCGAACAAAUGAAUUAAUAUUCGUUCUCAAGUACGAAUGUUGUUGGCGCGCUUACAACUACAAACGUGGCAAUUAAAUCGAAUAUAUUUCACUGACGAGGGGAAAUGCUGUGAUUAGCGUGGAUAAUGAAUAAAAAUUUUGAAGGCUGUAGCUUCCACCCUCCAGCAGUCGCCAGCCAUCAGCUGUUUACAAGCGGCCAUUCUACAAAUGUUUACAAAUCCAUGAGAUACUCAUUUCGUCACAGACACACACACCCAGACAAAAUGUGUAACUAGUAGCUACAAAACAAAGCAGUUGCUCGCUUUCCUGGUCGCCCGCUUUUCCAUACACAAAUCGAAAUUGCUGCAUUGCGACAGCGCAACAUAGCGACAAUAACAACAAAUAUUACAGAGAAUAAACAUCAACAAGCAAAGCAGCAGCCGCAAGCAACGCCACACAACACGCUCCAGAUCCAGAAGCAAAAGUUGGCGCAGAGCUGCCAUCAACGGAAUAUUCAUAUCUAAAUGCUCACGUGAAAUACUUGCUUGAAUGCAGAGGAAGUUUUGCAAUGCUAGGCGAUAAUUUUUUUAACUAAUCAUUUUUUAUUUAAUUAACAAUAAUUUGUUUAAUUAACCAUGAUUUAUUUAAUUAACAAUAAUUUAUUUAAUUAAUAAUGAUUUAUUUAAUUAACAAAAUUUAUUUAAUUAAUAAUGAUUUAUAUAAUUAACAAUAAUGUAUUUAAUUAACGAUCAUUUAUUCAAUUAACAGUAAUUUAUUUAAUUAGCAAUAAUUUAUUUAAUUAACAAUAAUUUAUAUAAUUAACAAUAAUUUAUUUCAUUAACCAUGAUUUAUUUAAUUAACAAUAGUUUAUUUCCAUCCAUUAAAAAGAAGUCAAUUAUAUAUUUAUUCCUAAAUUACUUCAAUAUAUAAAAAUGUCUAACAAUAAUUUCAAUACCUAUAUUUGUAAAAAGAAAAUAUUUGUAUAAUUAUUUUUGAAUAAAAUUGCUUAACAUUUGUUUUUUUACUAAAAAAUUUCGCUAUUUAUUGAAGCUCUUUAAGAGGAGCUAAUUUUUAUUUAUUUUAAAUUUUGAAUCACAUUGGUCACCCUGUGUCGUCGCGUGGCCGCUAACAUUUGAGGUGUUGUAUCUCGGCGCGCGUCAUUUACCAGGUACCCAGAAUCGUUAGAUGGUGUCUGCCGGCUCGACAAAUUGUUGGUAGCGCAACGUGCUGGCCGGUCACAUGCUGAUGUAAACAAAGCGGCAUGCAACAACAAUGCGCGUUGGUUGAAGCGUGCCAAACAGUGGUGGCGCCGUCAAUUGCACGCUUAAAGACCGUGAGUUAAAACGAAAUGACAGUGUGUAUGCGUGUAUGCCGCAUGACAUUGGUGUGAGCGAGCACAAUGGUGAUUGCGUGUGCAGGGAAAUUUAUU